UUUGAUUCUAGAGUCAUGCUUUCAGCACGAAAGUUUUAUCCUCUUUUGUAUUUUACAAAGUGUGGCACUCAUAUAUCAAGUUGCAUGGUGUCUAGAGCUCAGAUUUGGUUCAUAUAAUCAAAAUUGGAAUGGUGAGAACGAUAGGUGGAUGCACAUAUGUUCAGUAUAUAUAUCCAGGGAUGUGAAGGAAUAAGUCUUGAGCUGUUUGGUCUUGGUCUUGUGGUGUCCUAUCCUUGUUUUUUCAGCUUUCAGUUACUAGGACAGUAUGUAGGACAGGUUGUUAGGAUGCUCUAGGACAGGUUGUUAGGAUGCUCUAGGACAAGUGGUUAGGAUGCUCUAGGACAGGUUGUUAGGAUGCUCUAGGACAGCAUCCUUUUAGGCUAGAAUACAGUUAUAAAUAUGUAUCCAACCUCCCCUCGGGAUGGUAUGACAUUUGGUGAUAAGUAAACAGAAAAUUGCCCUAAGUUUGAGUGUCAUCCUCUCACCAAUGAGAGUAACAAUUGAGAUACUAACAGGAUGUUGGAAUGAUUUUCUAGACAGUGUCUACAAAAGAUUUCCUUGAAAGGCCUCUAGCAGGUUCUCAAGCUCAGUUAUGCUUACUGGAAACGAAAAUACUGAACAUCUGGUCUCGUAUUGAUCCUACUUUCUGACUCUGUGGGUCAAACUAUUUUAGGGAUAGAAAGAAAGAACUUGCUCGAAAUUAUGCAGCCUACUACCCAUUUGGAGUUGAUGUAUACUUGUCUGAAGACAUUUUUCUUUCUUAUGAGUAGGGUGUUUAACUUCCCCCAAGUCACAGUUGUUUUCUGUAAAUCUUUGCGACUAACUAAUGAUAGUAUGAAGUUUGCUUCUGGGAGGAUAACCAAUUUGAUUUCAACUGCCACAGAAUCUCUUCGGGAUGCAGGUUUGGCAAGCCAUCAGUUGUGCAUAUUCUCCUCCAUGCACUGGUGUGGCAGUCAUAUAGACAAAAUUGGUAUGGUAAGAACGAUAGGUGGAUGCACAUAUGUUCAGUAUAUAUAUUCAGGGAUUUUGGAAUGAUUUUCUAGACAGUGUCUACAAAUGAUUUCCUUGAAAGGCCUCUAGCAGGUUCUGAAGCUCAGUUAUGCUUACUGGAAAAGAGUCCGUGGGUCAAACUAUUUUAGUUGUUUUCCAUAAAUCUUUGCGAUUAACUAAUGAUAGUUGGAAGAAGUUUGCUUCUGAGAGGAUAACCAAUUUGAGCUUCUGGGAGGAUAACCAAUUUGAUUUCAACUGCCACCGAAUCUCUUCAGUUUUGCAGCAAGUGUGCCAGCAACUUCACAGUGUAUGGUCAGCUCCUUGGUCCUUUUAUAUUCACAACUAGGCCCUGCAGCAUUAGUCAGUGCACUCAUGUUGGUUCUUUUGUUCCCAAUUAGGUACAUUUCUCUUUAGGCAUAUUCACUUAUGGACUCUCAGCACAGGUUUUGAACUGCCUAUUUGGUCCUAACAUGGUGCCAGAUCUGAGACUGUUCUCAUAAACAGAAUGCAAAACCUUACCAAUGAAGGGCUGCAAAGGACUGACAAAAGAAUCAGUCUAAUGAAUGCAAUGGAUACAGUCAAGUAUGCUUACAUUAACUUCGUUAGAUGUUAUGCUUGGGAGCAAAGUUUUCAGUCAAAAGUGCAGUAGAUUCGCGAUGAUGAGCUUUCAUGGUUCUGCAGUGCUCAAUUGCUUGCUGCGCUGAAUAGGUUCCUCCUCAACAGUGUCACGAUCAUUGUUACUGUGGUUUCAUUUGGCGUAUACUCUUUACUGGAAGGUGACCUGACACCAGCAAAGGUUGAGGAGAAUAUCAUUUUCCUCACCAUGUAUGCUUUGAUAGAUCAUUCUUGUGCUAUUUGAUUUCCAUCUGUCUCUGACGGAGAAAAUUGGUCCUUCGUGGAUUAGUGGCUUAUGUUCCUCAGGUUUCAUGGACCUUCAAUGCUACUGUUUGGGACAACAUAUUGUUUGGCUCUCCCUUCCAACCUUCACUCGACGAGAAAGCAAUAGAUGUCACUUCAUUAGGGCAUGACCUUGACCUACUACCAGGUGGUGGCCUAACAGAGAUCGGAGAAAGAGGAGUUAACAUUACUAGGGGUCAAAAGCAAAGAGUCUCAAUGACAAGAGUUGUUUAUUCUGAUUUUGAUGUCUACAUAUUUGAUGAUCCACCGAGUGCAUUAGAUGGCCAGCUUUGUCGACAGGUGCAUUUAUUGCUACCACAUUGCUUCAAGCUUUAUAUACUACGACUCUGUACAUGCUAAUGCAAGACGCACACCAUAGUGAGGCUAUCCCAAGGGCCGGGGAUCCGGAGCCCUGAGGUCAAUGUCCCGGGGACUCGGGGACCCCGAAAGGCUGAUGGCACGAGGACCUGGGGACAUGGAUUCACGAGGUUGAUGUACCGAAAAUGGAUAUGGGCCUUAGACAUGCAUGGAUAAGUUCGCAUUGGCCCGUUCAGCAACAUAGGAAAUAUAAUUUGAAGUAUACAACUCCAGCAUGUAAAUGUAUAAAGAUUAGACUUACAUUAAGCUACACUCAGGUGGCGCACCCCCAACCUCUAGUAUAGCGAGAAUCUCUGCCCAACCAAAGGGAGGAGGUGCACCAAGAUGAUGUUGAUUGGCAGUGGGCUCCUGUUGCUACCCAGCCGAGUAGACGCCGACAUGCUCAAGAUUAUCAAUGUAGCGAGCAUCUUUGCUCAACCAAUGCGAGGAGGUGCACCGAGAUAAUGUCCAUCAGUGGUGGGCUCCUGUUGUUGCCCGUUGUUGAAUGGGACAACAAGUUGGUUGUGAUGGAGAAUUUGGUGGGUCUUGACGUGCUAUUUUGACCAAGUCAUCUCAUGGGAAUUGUGAAACAGAGAGAAGGGUGGAUGUUCUACAUUCAGAUUUGAAAAAGCGCUCUGCCGCCCGCAGGGCAUCGCAUUGAAUGCAGCGUGCCAGAGGCAUGGUAAGUCAGUCUGGAGGCAGACCGGAGGAAUGUUAGAAGCAUGCGCCUACCCUUGGCGGAGGAUGUGAUCCGUGUCAGCCCCAUCGCGUGGGUCAUUAAUGAGAGGCUUUUUUGCAUCUCCCUCCAGAGAGAGCCGACGGUCCAUCUUUGAAGAACAUCAUCAUCGCCGCCGCUCCUUGGACGCGAAGAAACUGGAGGUCUUCGAUAUUAAAUGCCGAGGAGUCGCGGACGUCUCUGCCCACGCUGCAACGGGACGUGACCUACUUUGUGAAAAGAUGUGCGCUGUCGCCACAAGCCCCUUGAUUUGAUGGGCAUUAUUGUCCAUAAAAGAUUUUUUUUUCAUUCCUUAGAAGAUGGGUCCAGGCAACUGCGGGAGCCCCUUAUAGUAUAAAAGGAGGUCCUUGUCUAGGGAAAGGGGGAGCUCUAUGGAAUAGACACCGAAUAGACGCUUAGUGUGCUUCGACAUUGAGCUCAGCUAGGGUGUAUUCCUUGCGUCUUUGUCGCACCCAAGGGGACCUAUCCCCUCCAUCUCCUACCGCUCACGCUCUCACCCGCAGACCUGAUCCAAACCAACAAAGGGGGGACCCGCGGCUUCCCACUAGAGGAGUUUCACUCUCGGACAAUAUCAUUUAACCAUUUUUCAUACAUGGUUUGUUGCAUUUUUUUCACCAUAUGGCUAAUGUAUCAUUUGUUAAAUUACUAAGGUGUAUAACAAUAUAGGAUUAUGAUGCCAUUCUAUGUUGAAUCUGGUAACUUUGCACUUGGUAAAAUGUAUUUGUGUAUAGCAUUAUGAUAUCAUA